GACGAACGCUGGCGGCGUGCCUAAUACAUGCAAGUAGAACGCACAGUUUAUACCGUAGCUUGCUACACCAUAGACUGUGAGUUGCGAACGGGUGAGUAACGCGUAGGUAACCUGCCUGGUAGCGGGGGAUAACUAUUGGAAACGAUAGCUAAUACCGCAUAAUCUUGAUUAUUGCAUGAUAAUUAAUUGAAAGGUGCAAUUGCACCACUACCAGAUGGACCUGCGUUGUAUUAGCUAGUAGGUGAGGUAACGGCUCACCUAGGCGAAGAUACAUAGCCGAACUUGGAGGGUGAUCGGCCACACUGGGACUGAGACACGGCCCAGACUCCUACGGGAGGGAGCAGUAGGGGAUCUUCGGCAAUGGACGAAAGUCUGACCGGGCAACGCCGCGUGGGUGAAGAAGGUUUUCGGGACGGAAAGCUCUGUUGUAAGGGAAGAACGGGUGUGGGAGUGGAAAGUUCACGCUGUGACGGUAUCUUACCAGAAAGGGACGGCUAACUACGUG
rnacentral:rRNA from 1 species